rnacentral:rRNA from 1 species
AACGUAGGUCACAAGCGUUGUCCGGAAUUACUGGGUGUAAAGGGAGCGCAGGCGGGAAGACAAGUUGGAAGUGAAAUCUAUGGGCUCAACCCAUAAACUGCUUUCAAAACUGUUUUUCUUGAGUAGUGCAGAGGUAGGCGGAAUUCCCGGUGUAGCGGUGGAAUGCGUAGAUAUCGGGAGGAACACCAGUGGCGAAGGCGGCCUACUGGACACCAACUGACGCUGAGGCUCGAAAGUGUGGGUAGCAAACAGG